rnacentral:lncRNA from 1 species
GACACUUCUCUUCGAGACUUCGACAAUCCCAACUGUUCACAGUUAUUACAUGUAAAGUUCCAUAAGUACCCCUAGUCAAGAUGUGCAAUCCCGAGUCAAACCCCAUCAACGCAGACUACUGUCGGUGUCGGUGGGUGAGGUCCUAGCGUAUAAUGAUUUAGGGCAAAACUGGGAUUUCAUAUGAUUUAGGGCAAAACUGGGAUUUCAUAUUAUCUGAACAAAAUAGUGCAUUCACAUGUCUGUCUUGUGCGAUUUUUUUUUAUUUUUAUUUUAAAGAAACUUCCAACAAUUACUAAAUGUCUCACUUACUGUCUUACUUACUGCUGUGCUAAUCCCUUGAUUAAGGAAGCAUCUCUCCAUAAUUUUAAAAAGUCUCAAGUGGGCUGCUGAAUUUUGAACUUUCAUCAGAUCCAAGAACCUUAGACUUAGAGAUAGAUAUCU